CCUACGGGUGGCAGCAGUAGGGAAUAUUGCUCAAUGGGGGAAACCCUGAAGCAGCCACGCCGCGUGGAGGAUGAAGGUUUUCGGAUUGUAAACUCUUUUUGUUAGAGAAGAUAAUGACGGUAUCUAACGAAUAAGCACCGGCUAACUCCGUGCAAGCAGCCGCGGGAAUACGGAGGAUGCAAGCGUUACUCGGAAUCACUGGGCGUAAAGGGCGCGUAGGCGGGAUAGCAAGUCAGAUGUGAAAUCCUAUGGCUUAACCAUAGAACUGCAUUUGAAACUGUUAUUCUAGAGUAUGGGAGAGGUAGGUGGAAUUCUUGGUGUAGAGGUAAAAUCCGUAGAGAUCAAGAGGAAUACUCAUUGCGAAGGCAACCUGCUAGAACAUAACUGACGCUGAUGCGCGAAAGCGUGGGGAGCAAACAGGAUUAGAUACCCGAGUAGUC
rnacentral:rRNA from 1 species